rnacentral:rRNA from 1 species
AGAGUUUGAUCCUGGCUCAGGACGAACGCUGGCGGCGUGCUUAACACAUGCAAGUCGAACGGAAAGGCCCUUCGGGGUACUCGAGUGGCGAACGGGUGAGUAACACGUGGGUGAUCUGCCCUGCACUCUGGGAUAAGCCUGGGAAACUGGGUCUAAUACCGGAUAGGACCGCAUGCUUCAUGGUGUGUGGUGCAAAGCUUUUGCGGUGUGGGAUGAGCCCGCGGCCUAUCAGCUUGUUGGUGGGGUAAUGGCCUACCAAGGCGACGACGGGUAGCCGGCCUGAGAGGGUGACCGGCCACACUGGGACUGAGAUACGGCCCAGACUCCUACGGGAGGCAGCAGUGGGGAAUAUUGCACAAUGGGCGCAAGCCUGAUGCAGCGACGCCGCGUGAGGGAUGACGGCCUUCGGGUUGUAAACCUCUUUCAGUAGGGACGAAGCGAAAGUGACGGUACCUACAGAAGAAGGACCGGCCAACUACGUGCCAGCAGCCGCGGUAAUACGUAGGGUCCGAGCGUUGUCCGGAAUUACUGGGCGUAAAGAGCUCGUAGGUGGUUUGUCGCGUUGUUCGUGAAAACUCACAGCUUAACUGUGGGCGUGCGGGCGAUACGGGCAGACUAGAGUACUGCAGGGGAGACUGGAAUUCCUGGUGUAGCGGUGGAAUGCGCAGAUAUCAGGAGGAACACCGGUGGCGAAGGCGGGUCUCUGGGCAGUAACUGACGCUGAGGAGCGAAAGCGUGGGUAGCGAACAAGAUUAGAUAACACUGGUAGUCCACGCCGUAAACGGUGGGUAUUAGGUGUGGGUUCCCUUCCUUGGGAUCCGUGCCGUAGCUAACGCAUUAAGUACCCCGCCUGGGGAGUACGGUCGCAAGAACUAAAACUCAAAGGAAUUGACGGGGGCCCGCACAAGCGGCGGAGCAUGUGGAUUAAUUCGAUGCAACGCGAAGAACCUUACCUGGGUUUGACAUGCACAGGACGUAUCUAGAGAUAGGUAUUCCCUUGUGGCCUGUGUGCAGGUGGUGCAUGGCUGUCGUCAGCUCGUGUCGUGAGAUGUUGGGUUAAGUCCCGCAACGAGCGCAACCCUUGUCCUAUGUUGCCAGCGGGUAAUGCCGGGGACUCGUAGGAGACUGCCGGGGUCAACUCGGAGGAAGGUGGGGAUGACGUCAAGUCAUCAUGCCCCUUAUGUCCAGGGCUUCACACAUGCUACAAUGGCCAGUACAGAGGGCUGCGAAGCCGUAAGGUGGAGCGAAUCCCUUAAAGCUGGUCUCAGUUCGGAUUGGGGUCUGCAACUCGACCCCAUGAAGUCGGAGUCGCUAGUAAUCGCAGAUCAGCAACGCUGCGGUGAAUACGUUCCCGGGCCUUGCACACACCGCCCGUCA